UCGAGGGCUGUCCUGGUCGAUGGACGGUUUUGCCGUCCUCGAGGAGGUAGCCAGCGUCUCGCAUUUGCCCUCGUCCGGAGGACGCUGCAGCCGGUCGGGUCUCUUUCAAGAUCUCCGGAAGGACGAGCGUUUGCAGGUGGUCGGUGGCGUGUCUCCAGGGCCACGCCGUCGGUUUUAGAGCUUGCUCGCCCGAGGAAGAUCACCCGACCGAGGUGUCGUUAGCCUUUCGGGGCUCCUUCGUCUCCAUGGCUUCGUGCUUCGAGGAGCUUUUCGCAGGCGAGUAUUCCCGUCGGCGUCGCACCGGUGAACCGCGUGGACGGACGGCGGGAAGACGGUCGUUGGCGUGGCUCGCUCGUCGGAGACUUUCGGCUCGCAGCGAAGUCKYCGGAUUCCCMCCCGACCCGUCUUGAAACACGGACCAAGGAGUCUAACAUGUACGCGAGUCGUCGGGACUUGGACAUGCCCGCAGGCGCAGAGAAGUCGAUGACGUGCGAACCGUCGCACUACGUUGGGAUCCUCCGUUCGGGGGCGCACCAACGGCCCGUCCACUUCGGUUUCCGAUGGGACGGAGUUCGAGCGUACACGUUGGGACCCGAUAGAUGGUGAACUAUGCCUGGACAGGACGAAGCCAGGGGAAACCCUGGUGGAGGUCCGCAGCGGUCUGACGUGCAAAUC
rnacentral:rRNA from 1 species